UCUUGCAAUCUCUAUAACGCCAAUUAAAGGAUCAGGCAAAUGCAGCUAUGCAGGGUGUGUUAGUGACCUGAACCUGAUGUGCCCAGUUGGGUUACAGGUGAGGUCCAAGGAUAAUAGAAGAGUGCUAGCUUGCAAGAGUGCUUGUUUUGCGUUCAAUUCGCCGAGGUAUUGCUGCACAGGGAGCUUCGGAAGUCCUCAAUCUUGCAAGCCAACUGCUUAUUCCAGGAUUUUUAAGGCAGCUUGUCCUAAAGCUUACUCUUAUGCCUAUGAUGACCCUACAAGCAUUGCGACUUGCACUCGUGCGAGCUAUUUGGUCACUUUCUGCCCUCACCACCGCUGAUUAAUUAUCAUUAGUAGUUAACUAAAUUUGGGUUUUAGAGUUUAUUAAUUGGGUGUAUUGAUUUGUUCUGCAAUCUGCAGUGUACUUUCAUAGAGACCAGUGUGAGAUUAUAUACAUAUAUUUGCUGUUGGGCUUAUGGAUUUUUUUUUCUUUGUAUGAAAUUAAUUAAUUAGGAGCUUUUUAGA
rnacentral:misc_RNA from 1 species